rnacentral:rRNA from 1 species
AGCGAUGAAGCACCUUCGGGUGUGAAUUAGCGGCGAACGGGUGAGGAACACGUGAAGAAUCUGCCUUCAACUCUGGGAUAACUCCGGGAAACCGGGGCUAAUACCGGAUAUGAGCCUUGAUCGCAUGAUCGGGGCUGGAAAGUUUUUCGGUUGAAGAUGACUUCGCGGCCUAUCAGCUUGUUGGUGAGGUAAUGGCUCACCAAGGCGACGACGGGUAGCCGGCCUGAGAGGGCGACCGGCCACACUGGGACUGAGACACGGCCCAGACUCCUACGGGAGGCAGCAGUGGGGAAUAUUGGGCAAUGGAGGAAACUCUGACCCAGCGACGCCGCGUGAGGGAUGAAGGCCUUCGGGUUGUAAACCUCUUUCAGUAGGGAAGAAGCGAAAGUGACGGUACCUACAGAAGAAGCACCGGCUAACUAUGUGCCAGCAGCCGCGGUAAUACAUAGGGUGCAAGCGUUGUCCGGAAUUAUUGGGCGUAAAGAGCUCGUAGGUGGUUCGAUACGUCGGAUGUGAAAAUCAGGGGCUCAACCCCUGACCUGCAUCCGAUACGGUCGAGCUAGAGUUUGGUAGGGGAGACUGGAAUUCCUGGUGUAGCGGUGGAAUGCGCAGAUAUCAGGAGGAACACCGAUGGCGAAGGCAGGUCUCUGGGCCAAUACUGACACUGAGGAGCGAAAGCGUGGGGAGCGAACAGGAUUAGAUACCCUGGUAGUCCACGCCGUAAACGGUGGGCGCUAGUUGUGCGAACCUUCCACGGUUUGUGCGACGCAGCUAACGCAUUAAGCGCCCCGCCUGGGGAGUACGAUCGCAAGAUUAAAACUCAAAGGAAUUGGCGG